rnacentral:rRNA from 1 species
CCUACGGGAGGCAGCAGUGGGGAAUAUUGGGCAAUGGGCGCAAGCCUGACCCAGCAACGCCGCGUGAAUGAAGAAGGCUUUCGGGUUGUAAACUUCUUUUGUCAGGGAAGAGUAGAAGACGGUACCUGACGAAUAAGCCACGGCUAACUACGUGCCAGCAGCCGGGGUAAUUCGUAGGUGGCAAGCGUUGUCCGGAUUUACUGGGUGUAAAGGGCGUGUAGCCGGGUUGACAAGUCAGAUGUGAAAGCCUGCGGCUUAACCGCCGAACUGCCUUUGAAACUGUUGCACUUGAGGAGUGGAGAGGCAGACGGAAUUUCUAGUGGAGCGGUGAAAUGCGGAGAUAUUAGGAGGAACACCAGUGGGGAAGGCGGUCUGCCGGACAGCAACUGACGGUGAGGGGCGAAAGCGUGGGGAGCAAACAGGAUUAGAUACCCCGAGUAGUC